rnacentral:rRNA from 1 species
AUUCCCNCAGUAAUGGCGAAUGAACAGGGUCACGCUCAGCAUCAAAAUCGGGGCCUGCGGGCCUGAGUUGUAGUCUCUGGAGGUGCUACCAAGAGAGGCGCUGCUGUACGUCUUUUGGAAACGAGCAUCGACGAGGGUGAGGGUCCCGUUUGUCAGCAGCAGCCAACUGUGCACGGUGCACAUUCUAAGAGUCACGUUCCUUGGGAUUGGAGCGCAAUGUGGGUGGUAAGCUUCAUCUCAAGCUACACAUGGGCUCGAGACCGAUAGCAAACAAGUACUAUGAGGGAAAGGUGAAAAGCACUUUGAAAAGAAAGGUAAAAGUACCUGAAAUCGCUGAAGAGGAAGUGAGCGAAGCCAGUAUGUCUUGGCGAGAUUGCUGCACACGCGUGCCAGUGCUUGCUGCGCCAGCACUUGUGUGGCAUUAAGCCCCGAGCAAGUCCUGCGCAGUGCUUCUUGCCUUGCCCACCAACGGCUCUCCAUGCUUGAGGACGCUUUCAAGGACACGGUAGCUCCACCCCAUGAAGCGAAUAUUUUUGUUUGCACUCAUGUGAGGGGUGCACGGAGAGCAAAUGGCUCCUCUCGACCCGUCUUGAAACACGGACCAAGGAGUCUAACCUGUGUGCAAGCUUGUGGCCGGGUAAGCCUUUGUGCACAAUCAAAGUGACUGCUGGGAAUUGUUGCACCAGCAACCGACCUGUCAAUUGAGAGAGGUUUGAGUGUGAGCAUAUUUGUUAGGACCCGAAAGAUGGUGAACUAUGCCUGUGAAGGGCAAACUCAGGGGAAACUCUGAUGGAGGCUCAUAGCGAUACUGACGUGCAAAUCGUUCGUCAUACAUGGGUAUAGGGGCGAAAGACUAAUCGAACCAUCUAGUAGCUGGUUCCCUCCGAAGUUUCCCUCAGGAUAGCUGGAGUU